AGGUGAAUAUGAUGAGAACAAUAAUAAAAGAUGUCUGAUCAUCAAAUACUAUGUAUUUGGUAUGAUCGAACUUAUUAUCGCUACGUUCUUUCUGAUUCAUCU